rnacentral:rRNA from 1 species
UACGUAGGGCGCAAGCGUUGUCCGGAAUUAUUGGGCGUAAAGAGCUCGUAGGCGGCGUGUCGCGUCGGUUGUGAAAGCCCGGGGCUUAACUCCGGGUCUGCAGUCGAUACGGGCAUGCUUGAGUUCGGUAGGGGAGAUCGGAAUUCCUGGUGUAGCGGUGAAAUGCGCAGAUAUCAGGAGGAACACCGGUGGCGAAGGCGGAUCUCUGGGCCGAUACUGACGCUGAGGAGCGAAAGCGUGGGGAGCGAACAGG